ensembl:lncRNA
AAGAUGACUUGGGUCUGAGCACUGCGCAUGCCUAAAACCCUGCUUGUUAAGACUAGAUCUGAAAGUGAGCUGGCACCAGCCCAUCUCACCCCAAGCUGUUGUCUGAACCGCUUCACACCCAUGCAGGGAUCCGGGCUUAGAAGGAGCUAAACAGGGACAGACAUGAGAUCUAGGCCGGUGGAGACUCCAAUGAGUUUGGUUUAAAGUGGGGGAAACACCUCUGAGCCGACUAGCGCUUCCGCACCCGCACCCGUCAUAAAGAGCUGUCUGAGCGCCUCCACCCAGGCUGGCUGCUGGCCUCUUUAAAAUCAGCCCUGGCGACCUGUGAUUCUUUUUUUUCUCUGUGCCAUGGAUGGCCUGGCAGCCAAUUGCUGCUGGCCCUGGAGCUGGCUGCAGCCAACUUGCCCUGCCUGUGACCCGCAAAUGGCUCGCCCUGGCUGGAUGAAUUGGAAAGCCAACUUACUUCUGGAAGUUCAGCCUGAUCUGAUCCUGCUUGUCAGUGAUGAAGUGAAAACAAAAUACUAGGAGGCCCACACCAGGGUUUCUCUGACAGAGAGGACUGACAAGGCAGUAACAGCUCUGAGGACCGUCAGCGUUACCGGAAAAAUAAAACCUGAAGGCUUGGAGGCCGAACAAUGAACCUACAGGGUCUCACUUUGUAUGCCUCGUGCUGGCUGGAAACUCACUGUGUGGAACCCACUGGCCUCAAACCUGUGGCAAUUCUCCUGCUUCAUCUUCCUGAGGGUUGGGAUUGCAAGUGACUCCUACUACCCCUGGCUAUAAAUCUUUAACUGGACCUGGUUCAUUGACUUCACAGACCAUUGAAGACAAAAGCCACCAAAUUUCCUUUUUCUGUUUUGAAAUGUCUCUCUUUAUAGCCCAGACUGGCUUUAAAUUUGCUGUGUAGCUGAGGCUGGCCUGUCAAUCCUGCUUUUACCUGAAGAGUACUGGGAUCGUAGUCAGUUUUGGGGUUUUGUACCAUGUUAGGAAGGAGGAAAUAACAGAAGGAGGAAGACAGACGUUUCCAGAAUCAGUCUGUCAGGGUGAAGCUGCAGCUCCUAGAAACCAAAGACUCAUGCAGACAAAAUCGUCUGCUACUUACUAAAAGCAUGGUGACUCUGUUAGCACCAUGCUCUAACCACCUGAUCUAACUGACCAAACUUCUUUGUGCCUCUGAUUUCCCAACAGUAAGUGGGACAAUAAUCAUACUGUCUAUAGGACAUGUGAUAUGUUAUAUAUAACAAACAUCAUAUAUGGAGUCUAUGUUGUGACUCAUGCCUGUAAUCAUAGUUCUUUUUUGUUUGUUUGUUUGUUUGUUUGUUUGUUUUUUGAGACAGGGUUUCUCUGUAUUGCUUUGGGGUUUGUCCUGGAACUUGCUCUGUAGACCAGGACAGCCUUGAACUCACAGUGUCUUCCUGUCUCUGCCUCCUGAGUGCUGAGAUUAAAGGUAUGAACUACAACCACUGUUUGUUGUCUUGAGGCAGAGUCUGACCUCAAGCUUCCUACAUAGAUGAGAAGGACUUUGUACCCAGCUUCUCUUGCCUUCCCCACUCAGAGCUGGGAUUAUAGGGUGUACAACCACGGUCAUCCCAAGGCUGGUCUUGAUUUCCAUUCUGUUUUUGGGGGGAUAAAGUCUCUACCUGUAGCCCUGGUUGUUCUUUGAAUUUGCUAUGUAAACUAGGCUGGCCUUGAACUCACAGAGAUCCUCCUUCCUCUGCCUCCCCAGUGCUGGGAUUAAAGGCAUACACCACCAUACUUGACAUUUCAGGGGGUUUUUGUUUUAUUUAUUUGUUUUGUUCUCUUCUGGACAUAAGGUCUCCUUAUAAAACACUGACUGUCCUAGAACUCUAUGCAGGCCAGGCUAGCCCUCAACCUCUUGGUAAUCCUUUGGCUGGUGCCCUUUGAGUGUUAGGGUGAUAAACAUGCCCUGCUUCCUGUGAGCCUAUAUCUUGGGCUCUGACCAUUGGGGUUUGUACUCAGAGCAUUGCAGAGAGGGCUUGAACACCUAGAAAGAGCUAGCUAGCAUCCAGCUGUACAUUGCAGCCUCCAGGAUGAGGUCAGGGAGUGGUGUGUGUGGCAGGCUUCCAGGGAGCAGAGGGCUCCC